AUGACUGAAGAAAUAGGAGCCAAGCCCACAAUGUUGAAAUUUUUUGUGUUUAAUAUUGAACAGCUGUCAAUAUCACUAGGCAGUCAUCAAGACGAGCACACCACGGAUUUGGGGCUGGUGUGGGUUUUCCUUGUUGCUCUUUUAAAACGUGUCCAGUGUGAAGUGCAGCUGGUGGAGACUGGGGGUGGCCUGAUACAGCCUGGAAGGUCCCUGAGACUCUCCUGUAUAGCCUCUGGAUUCACAUUCAGUAACCACUGGAUGACAUGGAUCAGACAGGCUGGAGGCAAGGGGCGGGAGUGGGUUGGAGAAAUUAAUAAAGAUAGCAGUCAAAUCAACUAUGCACCAUCCCUGAAGGGCCGAUUCACUAUCUCCAGAGACAAUGCCAAGAACACACUGUACCUGCAAAUGAGCAGUGUGAGAACUGAGGACACCGCCACUUACUACUGUGCUAGAGACACAGUGAGGGGAUCUCAGUGUGAACCCAGACAUCAACCUCACUGUGAGGCUGCUCUGGGCCACCAGGGGGCGCACAGCACACAGAAAACAGGUUCACUUCAGGAGAUUAUGCAGAUAAGACUAGAUUAA